rnacentral:rRNA from 1 species
CGGCGGACGGGUGAGUAACGCGUGGGUAACCUACCCUGUACACACGGAUAACAUACCGAAAGGUAUGCUAAUACGGAUAAUAUAUUUGAGAGGCAUCUCUUGAAUAUCAAAGGUGAGCCAGUACAGGAUGGACCCGCGUCUGAUUAGCUAGUUGGUAAGGUAACGGCUUACCAAGGCGACGAUCAGUAGCCGACCUGAGAGGGUGAUCGGCCACAUUGGAACUGAGACACGGUCCAA